UGUUACAGGGUGUCUUUGUGAGAGUCUAGAUAAAGUCCUAUCUUUGCCUAGAUGCACUCGGCGACUGGUAUAACCUGGCUAGAUAGAAAAGUACUUCUUGACUAUUAAAUAUGGUUAUAUAUAAAUUAUUUUAAUAUUACUUGUGUUAAUUAGUAAAUUAAAAUAUUUGUAUAUUAGUUUAGUGUUAUCGAAAAGGUACUUUUGUGAUACUGUGACGUGUUAUAAUUAUUGUUGCAUUUACUUGUGUUUUGAAUGUGUUAUUAAAUUUAUAUCUAUAAUAAUGUGUGCAAAACUAUGAAUUAUGCACUAAAAUGGAUUCUUUCCGUAAUUUGGGUUGUGGCGUAAUGACUUGCAUUUGAUAGAAAAAAGCAGAGUGAAAUAGAACCCAAUCUCAAGCAAUGGGUGUCUUAAGAUUUUGUUCACCACAAUCAUCAAUCAGCCAUCUUCGAUCCACCAGCCAAAUAAAUAAAAGAUUAAAUAAAACGUAUGGUGACGGGGAUUCAAUAUCAAAAUCAAAAUAUACUUUAUCCAAGAAAAUGUUAUUGAGGCCUUUAAGAUGGCAUGCAUCACCUAGGCGAAGACAGUGUUGAAAAGCAAUGAAUCCAAAGGAUGUACCACCACUACUAUAAAAUACUAUAAGACAAAUUCGUUGCAUUAUCAAAACUAACAAAAUUUAUAUUUAUUCUAGCGACACCGGCUUUACAUGUGUGCAAUUUAUUAAUAUAGAAAAUUAUAGAACUUAA